AUCCUUGUAUUGUUCAUUAAUCUGAUAAUUGGGUAUUCAGGCACAUACAUGUGCCUCCCUCAAACCUGGUCAUGGCAUAGGCCUACAUUACCUGUUUGAUG
ensembl:snoRNA